CAACGCGUGGCCCAAUAAAUGGCGACAAAUGCGUUCACAUGCUUAAUUACAUGCACUCACUCCCACUCGCACAGACAGACACCCCCUCUCUCUCACUCUCUCUCUUGCACUCACUCAAUAUCUUAACUGUUUGUUUUGAUCAGUUUUAAUGCACAUUUACUAGCACUGGACGGACACACGGCCAACAGACGAAACCGAACUCGAGCGUCGUCUCUCCACAGCUGCUGUUGCAGUCGACGUCACAAUCGCUACUUUGCUUGCGUGUUUUUGUUGCCGCAGCUGGAGGCGCGUUGCCCAGCAUGCACGUGUCCAAGGGUCAGCUGCGGCUGCAGAUUUCAAUUCGAGGUUUGUUCUCCUUUUCUAGCGCACACAACACCCAACACACAACACAACACCAGCGUGCAGGCAGGCAAGCAGGCAGCUAGCUAGCCAGCCAGACAGACGCACUGUCUCCGCCUCUAGCGGGUACAUUUCAAUGUCAACUAAGGUUAAAAGUAAUACAGUUGGCGAGGGGAGUUUGCAUUGCACAUACACCGGACGCACGAACAGCUGCUGCAGUGUUGAAACGUUGCGGGCAUAAUUAUCUCAGUUCGGAUUUAGCAAUAUUAAAUAGGCAAACAAAACCCUGUAUUUUGGACACAACAAUCACAAUACUACCGAAACAUCUACAAGUACCACAAAUAAAACAGCUAUCGAUAUCGAGUGCACAUGCACCGAUAUGCCGAUAACAAAACGCCAUGCAACCCGCUGCUAUCGUGCGAUAGUUACGAGCCAGCUGUGCGAUAGUUGCCAACGAUGUGGCAGCUCGCGCACAGCGUUGCCACUAGAGCACAAAAACCGUUGCAGAAUUUAAAUUUUAGUUUUCAAUUAAAUUUGGACUUGUUUUUCAUUUUGUUUAUUUGACAUACACGUAUAUAUUUAUGGGUUUAUAUUUUUGUUUAUCUUUUGUUUUGGUUUUUUUGUUGUUGAAUUGAAUACAAUUGUAAAAAUUAUGAAAUAGACGUUAUUAGUAUUGGGCAAAUGUUUACAAUCUUUUCGUUCUUGUUUUCUACGUUUGAAGCAGUUAUUUUGGGCAAA